rnacentral:rRNA from 1 species
GACGAACGCUGGCGGCGUGCUUAACACAUGCAAGUCGAACGGAAAGGCCCUGCUUUUGUGGGGUGCUCGAGUGGCGAACGGGUGAGUAACACGUGAGUAACCUGCCCUUGACUUUGGGAUAACUUCAGGAAACUGGGGCUAAUACCGGAUAGGAGCUCCUGCUGCAUGGUGGGGGUUGGAAAGUUUCGGCGGUUGGGGAUGGACUCGCGGCUUAUCAGCUUGUUGGUGGGGUAGUGGCUUACCAAGGCUUUGACGGGUAGCCGGCCUGAGAGGGUGACCGGCCACAUUGGGACUGAGAUACGGCCCAGACUCCUACGGGAGGCAGCAGUGGGGAAUAUUGCACAAUGGGCGGAAGCCUGAUGCAGCAACGCCGCGUGCGGGAUGACGGCCUUCGUGUUGUAAACCACUUUCGCCUGUGACGAAGCGUGAGUGACGGUAAUGGGUAAAGAAGCACCGGCUAACUACGUG